UACGUAGGGUGCAAGCGUUAAUCGGAAUUACUGGGCGUAAAGCGUGCACAGGCGGUGAUGUAAGACAGGUGUGAAAUCCUCGGGCUUAACCUGGGAACUGCAUUUGUGACUGCAUCGCUGGAGUGCAGCAGAGGGGGAUGGAAUUCCGCGUGUAGCAGUGAAAUGCGUAGAUAUGCGGAGGAACACCGAUGGCGAAGGCAAUCCCCUGGACCUGUACUGACGCUCAUGCACGAAAGCGUGGGGAGCAAACAGGAUUGAGACUACCGAGUAGUC
rnacentral:rRNA from 1 species